rnacentral:lncRNA from 1 species
UAUGUGUCUGUGUUGUGGGUGUGUCGACCCCUCAAUUUCCUUUGAUUGCACUUCAGUCAACUCACUUGCUCCAAGCCUCACUCCUGCCAUCCAUUAACUCAUCAACCCCGUCUUCAGCCACUCGACACUAGAUCGUCUGUUCAGCUACAGUGGAUCCCUGGCUUCCUGUCCACCCGCCUGCCUGCUAUCUGCUACCCACUCCAUCCUCUGCCGCCACGAGCCGGAUGUCCUCCGUCUCGUUUGUGUAAUAUAACGUGUGUGUGUGUGUCUGACUCUCUUUACUGUAUUUUAUUUCUAUAUAUUUGGAACAUUUAUGUUGGAUUUUGUGUCGAUCACUGGCAGAAAUGUCAUGUUGCUAAUCAAACUUUUACUUUACUUUUACAAUUAUUAUUAUUUUGACUAUACAUGCUAUAAAGUAAAGGUAAUUCACUUUUACAUAGCAUGUUGCCAGAAAUGCACACAUUCCACACUCAACCAAGACAUGUAGAGUGGUUUACAGUUUGUCUAUUGUAUGCAGGUAGAUGUGAAAUCUUUUUGUAAUGCUUUGUACUUUGAAAGUCAUGACUGACUAAAUGUUCCUCUUGGAUAGAAAAUAAUACUCUUGUUGUGGAAAUAGUCGGCUUUGCUGUGUUUUCAUUUUUUUUGCAUUUUGAAAUGAAGAGUUGCAAUUUCAUGAACAAAAUGUGGUUUUGAGAAGAAAGUUACCUAUUUUUACAUAUAAUUGUGUGAUGCUAGAUUGUUGCUAUGUUUACAUAUAAUUGUGUGAUGCUAGAUUGUUGCUAUGUUAAGUUUAGAAAACGUAUCUUAGAGUUAAAUGCUGGUUAGCAAUUGUAAAUGUAUUCCACCUGAAACAUGUUUAAUACUAUAAUACAGCAUGUCACACACCUGCACCACAUUAUCUCCACCACUAGAUAGAGCUGUGCACUGCUCAAUGCUUCAAUGGAAUGUUACAAAAUACAGAAGAACAGUUCACAACCGGCUUCAGUUUGACUUCAUGAGUCAUCAUCUUCAU